rnacentral:rRNA from 1 species
AUUGAACGCUGGCGGCAGGCCUAACACAUGCAAGUCGAGCGGAGCGGCGGACGGGUGGGUAUUACCUAGGAAUCUGCCUCGUCGUGGGGGAUAACGUUCGGAAACGGACGCUAAUACCGCAUACUCUUAGAUUCGCCUAGGUCGGAUUAGCUAGUUGGUGAGGUAAUGGAGCAACAAGGCUACGAUCCGUAACUGGUUGGAGAGGAUGAUCAGUCAGACUGGAACUGAGACACGGUCCAGACUCCUACGGGAGGCAGCAGUGGGGAAUAUUGGACAAUGGGCGAAAGCCUGAGCCAGCCAUGCCGCGUGUGUGAAGAAGGUCUUCGGAUUGUAAAGCACUUUAAGUUGGGAGGCGUUACCGACAGAAUAAGCACCGGCUAACUCUGUGCCAGCAGCCGCGGUAAUAC